rnacentral:tRNA from 1 species
UAGAUAGUGGUGUAGGUGGAAGCACGAAGAGUUUUGAUCUCUUAAGGUAGGGUUCAAAUCCCUUCUUUCUAA